UACGUAGGGGGCAAGCGUUGUCCGGAAUCAUUGGGCGUAAAGCGCGUGUAGGCGGCCCGAUAAGUCCGCUGUGAAAGUCCAGGGCUCAACCCUGGGAUGCCGGUGGAUACUGUCGGGCUCGAGUCCGGAAGAGGCGAGUGGAAUUCCUGGUGUGGCGGUGAAAUGCGCAGAUAUCAGGAGGAACACCAAUGGCGAAGGCAGCUCGCUGGGACGUGACUGACGCUGAGACGCGAAAGCGUGGGGAGCAAACAGG
rnacentral:rRNA from 1 species